rnacentral:rRNA from 1 species
GACGAACGCUGGCGGCGUGCUUAACACAUGCAAGUCGAACGGAAAGGCCCUGCUUUUGUGGGGGGCUCGAGUGGCGAACGGGUGAGUAACACGUGAGUAACCUGCCCUUGACUUUGGGAUAACUUCAGGAAACUGGGGCUAAUACCGGAUAGGAGCUCCGGCUGCAUGGUGGGGGUUGGAAAGUUUCGGCGGUUGGGGAUGGACUCGCGGCUUAUCAGCUUGUUGGUGGGGUAGUGGCUUACCAAGGCUUUGACGGGUAGCCGGCCUGAGAGGGUGACCGGCCACAUUGGGACUGAGAUACGGCCCAGACUCCUACGGGAGGCAGCAGUGGGGAAUAUUGCACAAUGGGCGGAAGCCUGAUGCAGCAACGCCGCGUGCGGGAUGACGGCCUUCGGGUUGUAAACCGCUUUCGCCUGUGACGAAGCGUGAGUGACGGUAAUGGGUAAAGAAGCACCGGCUAACUACGUG